UACGGGGGGGGCAAGCGUUGUUCGGAAUUACUGGGCGUAAAGGGCUCGUAGGUGGCCAACUAAGUCAGACGUGAAAUCCCUCGGCUUAACCGGGGAACUGCGUCUGAUACUGGAUGGCUUGAGUUUGGGAGAGGGAUGCGGAAUUCCAGGUGUAGCGGUGAAAUGCGUAGAUAUCUGGAGGAACACCGGUGGCGAAGGCGGCAUCCUGGACCAAUUCUGACGCUGAGUGAGCGAAAGCCAGGGGAGCAAACGGG
rnacentral:rRNA from 1 species